GAUGAACGCUGGCGGCGUGCCUAAUACAUGCAAGUCGAGCGAAUGGAUUAAGAGCUUGCUCUUAUGAAGUUAGCGGCGGACGGGUGAGUAACACGUGGGUAACCUGCCCAUAAGACUGGGAUAACUCCGGGAAACCGGGGCUAAUACCGGAUAACAUUUUGAACCGCAUGGUUCGAAAUUGAAAGGCGGCUUCGGCUGUCACUUAUGGAUGGACCCGCGUCGCAUUAGCUAGUUGGGGAGGUAACGGCUCACCAAGGCAACGCUGCGUAGCCGACCUGAGAGGGUGAUCGGCCACACUGGGACUGGGACACGGCCCAGACUCCUACGGGAGGCAGCAGUAGGGAAUCUUCCGCAAUGGACGAAAGUCUGACGGAGCAACGCCGCGUGAGUGAUGAAGGCUUUCGGGUCGUAAAACUCUGUUGUUAGGGAAGAACAAGUGCUAGUUGAAUAAGCUGGCACCUUGACGGUACCUAACCAGAAAGCCACGGCUAACUACGUGCCAGCCGCCGCGGUAA
rnacentral:rRNA from 1 species